ACGGCUGAAACCCUAGCCGCCUCUUUCAACCUUCUCUCUCUUCGUCAUCGAUAGCCAAAGAUGGCAAAGUUUCAGGCGGCCCUUGCUUUUUGCAAUCAAUGCUACCACGUUUCGGGUAAGAGAAUUAAUUGACUCUCUCAUCUAUUCCCACCGUCGAACUACUAAACAAGGUAUAACCCUUCCCCUUUUUUGUUUUUCUGCAAAUUCGCGGUCAAACAAUGACGAACAUUGAUGAAUCCUUUACAAAUUUCACUUGUCCCACCUGAAAAUUAGGGCAAAAGGUUUCAGAUUUGGGGUUCUAUUUAAAGAACUGCAUAUCUCACUUUAAAACGAAUCCAUUCAUCAAUAUUCAGACACACAAGUCUCAAAAUUAGAGCAAAUAGUUUCAAUAUACAUAGGGAUCUAGAAUUUAGUUGGAACCUUUAAUUUAUUGAGUCUUUUAGUUAAAAAAAUUUAGCUUGCCUUUGUUGUGGCCGAGCUUUGGAGCAAAGAAUCUUCCAACUCUAAUUUCAACUCAAGGCUGCGCACAAAAAAGGUGAUCAUGAUUCGUAGUCAACAAGGAGCAAAUGGAAACCAGGGUGGUCAACAAGACCCUCCGAUUGUAGCAGAGGAUGAGAAUGUAUUUGCUGAUCUGAUAGACGAGGAGGACUAUGCAUAUGCUAUUGUUCAUCCUCGGGUUGGAGCUAUAAGUGUCAACGUUGAUUCCUCUCUCUACCAGUUACUCAAACUUGAGGGCUAUUUUCGGAACUCCACUGAAAAUGAUCCUCAUCAACAUUUGCAGAACUUUGUGGGUGUAUAUGCUCAUCACAUUCAAAAUAAUGUUUCGCAAGAUGCUUUUCGGCUAAGACUCUUCAAAUAUUCUUUAGCCGAAGACGCAAGAGUGUGGUUUGAAAAGCUGCCCCGGAAUUCUAUUACUUCAUGGGCAGAGAUGGUUGCGGUUUUUCUCAAGAAGUGGUAUCCCCCAAGCAAAAAGGCUGAAAUUCUUGACAAAAUUUAUGAGUUCAAUAACGCCAGGGGGAGAAACUAUAUGAAGCUUGGGAGAGAUUUCAAGAAUAUUUGGAGAAGUCUCCAAAUCUUGGUUUUCCGGAGAAUAUAUUGAAGGAGAAAUUUUAUAUAGGGCUAGAUCCUAUAACACAAUCAGUCGCGAACAAUGCAGCUGGUGGGCGUUUCAUGGACAAAAACUUACACCUGAAUCUCUAAUAUGCUUAACAGAUUGAUUACACACAAUCAGGCAUGGCACUCGGGUAAUGCGGAUAGUCUACCGUAUAGGGGUACAAUGAUCCACAGUAUGGUGAAAAAGAAUCAUGAGACACAGUAGACGUUGGCUCAGCUUGCAGCAAAUAUUUCUUUGUUGACUAAGAGGUUUGAUGAGAAGGAGACUAAAAAGGUGAAUGUUUGUGAAGAAGCUCAAGGAAUGCCUAAAGGGAUGUACCAAGUUCAAUAGGGCCCAUAUCUAGAGGGACCUCCUAUGCAGGUGAAGAUGCUAACUAUGUGAACAACUCUCAAGGGGGUUACCAAAGGCAAACUACCAAAGGGGUUAUCAAAAUCAAAAUCAAUGGAGACCUCAGCAGGGACAAGGUACUACAUCAACAACCAGGGGAACGACAAUAAUAAUUAUGGUAGCUCGAACCAAGGGAACUACAACAUCAACUGCAAUUUCGGAAAUAAGAGUUCCAAUCCAUAUAUUCUAUCAAAAGGGCAAUCAAAUGAGCAAGGUAGUUCGUGGUUGGAGGCUAUACUUGAUAAGGUGCUAGCAAAUCAAACCAAGCUUGAGAAGACUUUAUCUAGGCUGACCGAAAUAGUAGGAUCUCAUACGGCUUCCAUUCAGAAGCUCGAGUCGCAGAUGCGUGACAUUUCCAGAGAGCAGCACCCUCCUCAAAAGGGAGGACUUCCUAAUGACACUAUUCUGAAUUCGAAGAAUGGGUGAGGUGGUGUAGACCGUGUUUAUGCUAUCAGUAGUCGAAGUGGUAAAAUACUCCAAGGUGCUGAAAAGAAAGUGAUAGAUCUCGAGCCAGUUGCUGAAGAAGAAGAGGUGCAGUCUGAUGCACCAAUUAUUGUUGAAGAGGUUCCCCCAAAAAUUCCAAUUGUGGAGGAAGUUACUGAUAUUCCAGAGGGUUUGAAGAUGACUAAUGACAAGAGCAAGCAGACUGUAAAGGGGGCUAUCCGCCCUUUGACUCAGCUUUUUAAAUCUAAACCACCCUUUCCUCAAUGGUUGGUGAAGAAGACGGAAGAUGCUAAGUUUCAGAAAUUUUAUGAUCAGCUGAAGCAGUUGUCAUUGAACUUUCCAUUCUUGGAUGUUGUCAAGGAGAUGCCUGAAUUUUUGAAGUAUUUGAAAGAUCUCCUUAUGAAGAAGUGGUUUGUGCAACAUGAAAAUGUGAGUUUGACUCACACUGUGAGUUCUAUUAUUUCUACAACAACAGUCCAGAAGAAGGGAGAUCCUGGGGCAUUCACCAUUCCUUGUUCUAUCGGGCAUCCUGAUUUUGCUCGUGCUCUGUGUGAUAAUGGGGCUAGUAUAAAUUUAAUGACAUUUUUUAUUUAUAAACAAUCAUGAUUGGGGAGGCGUAGGCCGACUAUGCGAUUACAGAUGUCUGACAGAUCUAUUAAGAGGCCGAAUGGCAUGGUUGAUAAUGAUUUUGUGCGGGUUGGUGAUUUUCUGUUGCCCGCAAAUUUUGUGAUUCUUGACUGUGUUGUUGAUCAUGAUAUUCCCAUUAUUCUGGGAAGACCUUUCCUUGCUACGGGAAAGGCUCCUAUGGAUUCGAUAAAGAAUGAAAUAAAAUUCUGAGUCAAUGGUGAAGAGGUGACUUUCCAAGCCAGUAAGGGGAUGAAGUUACCAAGUGCUUAGGAGAGCAUUUCGGUGGUUGAUUAUUUUGAUGUUGUUGAUGAAGCUGUGGAAUUCAAAAUGGAAGAAGAAUGUUCAGGAGAAGCUUUUGCUGCUAUUCUUGUGAAUUUUGAUGCUUAUGACAUGAAGGGCUAUGCGGAGGCGGUGAAUUCGCUUGUUAGGUUGGAUUCAUAUUCUUACCACCCAAAGAAGCUUGAUCUAGAUCUUGAAAAUAGAAAGACACCACCAGCAAAACCAUCCAUUGUUAAGCUGCCUAAGAUUGAGCUUAAGCAGCUGCCUGCACAUCUGAAGUUUGAGUUUCUGGGCCUAGACAACACUUUGCUAGUUAUUGUGUCUGCAUUGUUGAAUGAAAAGCAGACAAAUAGAUUAUUAGAGAUAUUGAGAGAAUACAGGCGUGCUAUAAGCUGGACUAUUGCAGAUAUUCGAGGAAUUCCCUCGGGCAUAUGUGAGCACAAGAUUCAGCUUGAGGAAUAUAGUACAUCGAGUGUUGAGCACCAGCAGAUAUUGAAUUCACCUAUGCAAGAGGUGGUGAAAGUGGAGAUAAUUAAAUGGUUAGAUGCUGGAGUUGUAUAUCCUAUUGCAGACAGCAGGUGGGUAAGCCCGGUACAAUGCGUUUCAAAGAAGGGAGGUAUCACAGUGGUACCCAAUGCUAAAAACGAGCUAAUUCCGACUCGUAUUGUUACUGGGUGGCGUGUUUGCAUGGAUUAUAGGAAGUUGAAUUCAUCCACUUGCAAAGACCAUUUCCCCAUGCCUUUUAUUGAUCAGAUUCUUGUUCGGCUGGCGGCAAGGUCUUACUAUUGCUUCUAGAUGGGUAUUCUGGCUAUAAUCAGAUUAACAUUGCUCUUGAAGACCAGGAGAAGAUGACAUUAACUUGUCCUUAUAGGAUGUUUGCUUUCAGCAGGAUGCCAUUUGGUCUUUGCAAUGCACCAGUUACUUUCUAGAGGUGUAUGAUGUCGAUUUUCUUAUACAUGGUGGAAAGCUUCUUGGAGGUCUUUAUGGAUGAUUUCUCUUUGGUUGGUGACACUUUUGAUGAUUGUCUCGACCAUCUGGGUCGAGUGCUAAAAAGAUGCGAUAAGUCUAAUCUUGUGCUGAAUUGGGAUAAAUGACAUUUUAGGGUGAAGGAAAGGAUCGUUCUCAGUCAUAAACCUCUGAAAAGGGGAUUGAGGCCAAUCAGGAUAAAAUUGAUGUGAUUUCAAAGGUUUCUCCACCCAUCUCAGUUAAAGGUGUCUAGAGUUUCUUGGGACAUGCUGGGUUCCAUAGGCACUUUAUCAAAAAUUUCUCCAAAAUUGUGAAUCCGUUGUGCGAGCUUCUUGAGAAAGAGCCCAAGUCCGAGUUUGAUGAAAAGUGUUGAAAGGCGUUUGAUGAAUUAAAGGAGCGUUUGACUUCUGCUUCCAUUAUUGAUUCUUCUGAUUGGUCACUGUCGUUCGAGCUGGUGUGUGAUGUGAGCGAUUUUACUAUUGGUGAUGUGCUUGGCUAGAGGCACAACAAAAUCAUGCACCCAAUCUACUAUUCCAGUAAAACGUUGAAUGCGACACAGAUGAACUACACAGUGACUGAGCAAGAGUUGCUUGCUAUAGUCUAUGCUUUUGAGAAAUUUCGGGCCUAUUUAUUGGGGUCCAAAGUUGUGGUUUAUACUGAUUAUGCUGCUUUGAGGUAUCUGAUGGCGAAGAAAGAAGCGAAGCCACAGUUGAUUUGAUAGGUCCUGCUGGUACAAGAGUUCGAUUUUGAGGUAAAAGAUCGAAAGGGGGCUGGAAAUUAGGUUGCUGACCAUCUCUCACGGCUUGAAGAAGCUGGUAGACCUUCAGAGGACUUGGAUAUUGAUGAUGAUUUUCUAGCUGAACGGGUUCUAGCAAUGACAGCUGAGGUAGCACCUUGGUAUGCAGACAUCACCAACUUUUUGGUGAAGGGCAUUAUUCCAGAUAAGAUCAAGUCAUACUAGAAGAAGAAGUUUUUGAGAGAUUCUCGUCAGUAUUACUGGGACGAUCCGCAUUUAUUCCGAACAUGCGCUGACAACAUCAUUCGGUGUUGUGUUCCCGAGUGUGAGGUAAUGGAGAUUCUGAAAGCGUAUCAUGACUCUCCGAUUAGGGGUCAUCAUAGUGGGACCUGGAUUGCAGCCAAAGUUAUUGAGUGCGGAUAUUGCUGGCCUACUCUAUUCCAUGAUACAAAUUUGUUGGUAAGGUCUUGUGAUCAGUGCCAAAGAGAAGGGAGUAUUAGUAGGAGGCAGAAGAUGCCUAUGAAUUUCGUGAUGGAAGUUGAGGUUUUUGAUGUUUGGGGAAUUGAUUUCAUGGGGCCUUUUGUGAGCUCAUGUGGCAUGAAAUACAUUUUGGUGGCUGUUUAUUAUGUGUCAAAAUAGGUAGAAGCGGUGGUUUUGCCCAACAAUGAAGCCAAGAGUGUCAUGGGGUUCUUGAAGAAAAACAUAUUCACUCGUUUCGGUACUCCGAGGGCAAUAAUCAGCGAUGGUGGUUCUCAUUUUUGCAAUAGAGUCAGGGCUGAUGGUGAAGUAUGGUGUGAAGCACAUGGUGGCAACCCCUUAUCAUCCUCAGACAAGUGGGUUGGUUGAAGUCUCCAAUCGGGAGAUAAAGAGUAUAUUAGCCAAGACAGUCAAUGCAAAUAGAACCGACUGGCCUCGGAAAUUUGAUGAUGCUCUUUAGGCCUAUCAGACUGCUUACAAAACUCUAAUCGGGACUUCUCCUUUUAGGCUGGUUUUUGGCAAGGCGUGCCAUUUGCCAGUCGAACUUGAGCAUAAGGCCAUGUGGGCCUUGAAGAAGCUAAAUAUAGAUUGGGAAGAAGCAACUAAACUUCAGUUGUUUCAACUGAACGAAAUGGAUGAAUUUCGGUACCAAGCUUAUGAGAGUGCAGCAUUGUAUAAGGAGAGGAUGAAACACUAUCCUAACAAAAAGAUCCUCAAGCAAGAAUUUUACAAGAAUGAUUCUAUCUUGCUAUAUAAUUCCAGACGAAAGCUGCUACAAGGCAAGUUGAAAUCAAAGUGGUCCAGCCCUAUUGAACUAGUAAGUGUUUCACCCAAUGGUUUGAUGGAAUUGAAAACCAUAGAUGGGUCUCGAACGUUCAGAGUGAAGGGCCAGAGGUGAAGCACUAUAAUUAGAUGGUUGAUGGGGAUAGGAUUGUUGACAGGUACCUGUUGAAGCAUCUGGGGACAAAUUCUGACCCGGAGUAUUCCCGCCUGUCACGCGGAUACAGUCUUGACCCGGAAUAAAACUGUACCCCCGUUGUGCCGCGAUGUUAAAUCAAGCGCUUCUUGGGAGGCAACCCAGUUUAAAUUUCUGUAUUUUUCCUUGUUUUGUUUUGUUGUUAUUUUCAGUAGUGUUUCUUGGCUAUAUGAUGUGUGUUGAUUGUGCAGGAGUUGCAAACCUCAGGAAACUGACCAAGUAGCAUCUCAGAGUUGUUUGACGGACCGUCAAAAUUCGACGGUGACGGCGAAGUACAACGACGAGCUGCAAAGCUGGGGGUCCUGAAAGUUGGCAAUUAUCCAUUCUUAGUAAGUUCAAAAAUAAGGACAAUCGACAAACCAUCGUUAUAUUGACGGUUCGUCCUUAUGAUAUCCCAAGUCGUCAACAUGCCUAGGUAAGUCUUCUUGGUUACGAGCUGUACAACAUCGACGGUUCGUCGAAUUACAAAAAAAAAAACGAGCAGAGGAUUUUAAAAUCAUCACAAACCACGCCUUUCCUUCUUCUUCUCCACUUCUCCAUCCAUUAAACUCCCAUCACAAACCCACAAUCUAACCCUCCAUUAACCCACAAAAUUCCCCCAUUACACCUCUUUAAUACAUCACAAUACCUGAACUGAUGACCCUCUGCUCCAAUUUUCAGUAUUCUCUGUGCUUUUCCACUCAACUUCCUAUGUUUUUCUUCGAAAAUCUCUACUAAUCAGGUAUGUAACUUUGUAACACAUCUUCACUUGGUUAUUGAACGUGGGUAUUCGGUUUGGAAAUUGAAAAAGCACCUAGGGUUCCUAAAUUGAUUUAAAAAUUUACAUUGUGGGAAAUAGGUUGUGUUUAUUGGUGAUAAAAUAUGUUAGAGGUAUUCAAAUUGGUUUGGGGGGCUCUGAAAUGUAGUGGUAAACAUGUAUGGGUAGAACUCAUGACAUAGGGUUUGGCAUUUGACUAAGAUUCAUGCUAAUUUUGUAAUUGUUUUGUAAUGGAUUGACAUUAUUGGUUGAGGGUGGGGAAUUUGGUAUGUUUGUUGUAGUUAGGACUCGUGGGGACGAGAAUAUCGUACCUCCAUUGAGGUGGUGGGCAUUUUGAUCCACAUUCGUGCCGAUUCAUUAUGCCCGCCAUCAGUUUGUAAAUGUGGAUGUGUGAAACAUGUCUAAUGUGUGGAUUUGACUGUGUGGAACGUAAUGGAAACAAUGGGAGUGAAGUCUGAGUAACUCCAACAGGUCGGAGGGCAUUUUGAUUGAUAUUGUUAUGCCUGCCAAACAAAACUCGAUAAUAUACCAAUGGACGUAAUUGUGUGAAACAAGUAGGUGAAUUUUGAGUAACCCUAAGCCCCGAACCCUGAAAGCUUGUGCACAUGUGAAAAAUGGAUAUGUGAUGUCUGUGUUUUUUGAAUUGGAAACAUCUUUCAAACCCGCUGCUCUUCAUCUGACAGGGCCAUGAAUAUGCUGACGAUACCAUCAAUAAUCAGACGAAUCAUAUUUGUACCAAGUACUGUAUCGUCGAUUUACUUCACGGUCCGUCAAUAAGUUCGACGGUUCGUCAAAGUACAUCGACGGUUUGCAGAGUCUAAUUUUCAGAGAAAAAAAAAAGUGGCUGAAAUUCCUUUGAUUGACCUUAUGCUGUGCAUAGUGAUGGGAACCUAGUUUAUGAUUGCAGGUAUGGGUCCACCUAAGUUUCCAGCCAAAUGAGGGGGUAGCUCAAAGCAAACAGAGCGAGAAUCUGUAGCAAGCAGGCCAUUAUUAAAUCCAAGUUGACAGAUGAACCCUCGGAAGAUGAACCCGAGGUUGUGCCUUAGAAGAAGAACAGGGCUGUUGUUCAUGUUUGGAACAAGCAGGUCACACCACCAUCUACUUCACCCUUCGGUUCCUCCCAGUCUAAAGAGGAGGGAUUGUUGUCAUCCGGGUCGGGUGACGAAGAUUCAGAAGAGGGUUCAGAGUCUGCAGCUAGAGAUGCUUCACCGAUCUUGUAGCCACCCACUAUUGGGGAUGCUUCACAGGCCUCUCAAUUACCUACCAGGUCUACAAAUCAUCAGAGUUCAUAGCCAGCCGAUGAAUGUGAUGAUGCGGCUAUAGCACGAGAGAUCUGAAGCAAAAAUCUAGAGGAUGACCAGUCCAGAUUUACGGUCGAGGCUGCUAAGGGGCUUUAUGAUCAAGGGGUUGCCUUGAAAAAUUAGGUUAGACCUAGCCCAAAUCAAACAAUAUGGGAGGAACGGCACAUUAGCUUUGAGGGUUUGGAGAUCCUUCCCUGUAACAAAGAGACCAUCGAGCACUACAAGUUGGGUUUUAUGGACAACGCUCUUGGGGAGUAUUUUCCGAUGUUAGUACAAUAGUUGUAUGCAACAUAUAGGGCCUUGAUCAACAAUGUUAGAAAGCUGCGACAGAAACUGAUUAAAAUUAACCCACUGAAUGAGGUUGACGUGCGAGAGUUAAAAGUUGAUAUUUCCGCCGAAGCAAUCAACCGAGUUUAUUUUAAUACUGAGUAUACUGCACCAGGGUGGACAAAUGAGUUGUCUGAUAAACUUGACAGGAGAGAGGAAUAGAUUGUCAAAGAUUGUGUGGCGACAGUGAUUGACUGACCUAGCAAGCGGAAGGAGAAUAUGGCAGGUCGCAGAGGUUACUUAAGCGCUGGUUGACGCUUGAUGGUAAAUUUUGGUGGAGUAUGGUACAAUUGCGACUUCUCCCGACAAAGUACGAUAAUGCACUCACCAUCAACAUAUCGAUUAUAGUGGUUGCUCUAAUGACCAUAUACCCGAUUGAUUUCGAGUUGGCUAUGGAUGAGAUUCAGUUGAAGGCAUCACAGCCUUCUACAUCCUUGAUAUAUCCUUGUCUUAUCACCGAGCUCAUUCGGAGGGCACAUGCCCAUAUCUUACCAUACAUCGAUCACCAGAUUAUGGCCUCACAUGUGUAUAAUUUGAAGAAAAGCAGGGAUGAGGCCCUGAAAGAGGGUCAAGGUGCAAAUGAUGGCUUCCCAGAACUGUUUGAAGGCUUGAAUGAGCCUCAGGAUGAUCAUCAUUCAGGGGCCGCCGGUGACAUUAUGGAGGUGUUACCCGCCACUACUGCCCCUAUUUCUGAGCCUAUCCAAACUAUAUAUCCUGAGCCUCCAUACACAAUUACACCGUGUACAUUAUCGACCCAGAUUCCAAAUUCACAGCCGCAGAGUGCAGCUCCAUAACUAUAGGGUACCGCGGCACAGCCACAAGAUGCAGCCGGAGUUGCUGACCCAUAUAUUUUUUUGCUAGCGAAUUUCAGAGAGUUCGCGAAAAAGGAAGCAAUGAAAAAUAAGAAGUCCAAGAUCAUAGUAAAGUAACUUGACCAGUUUGUAGAACAGAAGAUUACAACUGCUAUGGAGCCACUAAGGCGGGCCACAGAGGCUCGCUUGGAUAUGUUCGAGAUUUGGCUUGCAGCUCUGGAGCUGUCACGUCCGAGAACCACUAUUGAUGUAUUGACUGAGUUGGAGUAGUUGUGAGCUGCAGUACUGACACUGCAGGCUUGUGAUCCGAGCAUAGUAGUGAUUCCGCCCCUUACCAGGACGGAUGUGGUUGAGGACUUGCUUCCGGUAGUACAAUUAUUUGAUGAUGAGGGAGCUCCUGCUGCCACUUUAGCUGCAGAUAUUAAGGAGAAGAGGAAGCGAGCUGUAGAUGAUGAUGAUUCUGGUGAUGAGCUGCGAGAGAGGACUCGACCUCGACGUCAGAGCUUAGAGGAGCAGUAGAUCAAGAAAGCCCCCCUGAACUCUCUGGUUGUGAACUACCCCUGUGGGAUUGCGGGUGCCACAUGUAGUAGUGUUCCAGUCGGAGAGACUCUGAUGCAACCCCUUGUUAUACCAGUGCCAAUACUUGAGAAUACUGAUGCUACUGAUGUUCCAGCUAAUGCCUCGAGAUGAGUAGCACGCCUAGAACGCCAUAGAUUUCGGACGAAACGGGACUUGACUUUUGGGAGAGCAUAAGACGUCAGUAAGAUAUUGGUGAUCCUCCACUGUAGGCUUCACUCUUUGCUACUUCGGAGUACUCCUUCUUGACUCGGAGUCCACUUUUGGUACAGACUCCCUUUUGCUAUGUAUAUUCUGUACAUUUGACUAUUUGGGUACGGCGGGGCCCUGUCUCGCCAUAUGUCUUUGUUUUGAGUUCGUAGAGGCCUGUAGUCAUAUAUGUGGGGGCGAGGGUCCUAUAUAUGUUCGUUUGAUUUUGUUUUCUGGUCUUAAAGCGGUCCGUUUGUUUUGAUGGCCCUGAAUGGCCCUUAUGCUUAUAUUUGCAUUUUUGACCGGCGAUGUCUAUUCCGCCGCGCAGUUUGGA